GCAUGUGUACAAGGUUGAAACUUGCAUAAAUAAAAGCGAAAUCUGAUGACUCCUCCCUAAUCAGAGUACUGAAGUGGUUAACAGCCUUUAAAACUAGCAAUCAGUGGGGUAAUUCUCAACAAUAAAAGUAAAAAUAAAUAAAAUAGCAGCGCUUUCUUUGCUUUUAAUGACACACAGCUGCUAAGUUCCAUUAAUCCGAAGCAGGAGGGGGUAGUAAUGUACAUACGCUGGUUGCCAGCCGCCGUUAAUACUCAAACAAUUCCACGUCAACUCGAACACGCAAAACCCCGGUAUGAAGCAUUGUCAUGAGCAUGCCAAACCAACAGAUGGCGAUAUAUUCCUUAACCCAGAGAAGCCACUACAGUCUCGUCUUGCCAUGAACAAGGAAAAAAUGCGGGAGCUGACUUCGCAGACGUACGUGGUUCAGGCAGAUGGCCAUUGCUUUUCUGAACAGCAGUUGGAAGUAUUCUGAGGUAAUUUAAAUUUUAGGAAAAAUAUGAGCAUGAUUAUCGAUGAUUAUAUAAUUGAGUUCAAUAACAUAGUAAUUUUGG